UACGAAGGGGGCUAGCGUUGCUCGGAAUUACUGGGCGUAAAGCGUGCGCAGGCGGUUUUGUAAGGCAGAUGUGAAAUCCCCGGGCUUAACCUGGGAAUGGCAUUUGGGACUGCAAGGCUCGAGUGCGGCAGAGGAGACUGGAAUUCCUGGUGUAGCAGUGAAAUGCGUAGAUAUCAGGAGGAACACCGAUGGCGAAGGCAGGUCUCUGGGCCGUAACUGACGCUGAGGAGCGAAAGCAUGGGGAGCGAACAGG
rnacentral:rRNA from 1 species